rnacentral:rRNA from 1 species
UACGAAGGGGGCUAGCGUUGCUCGGAAUCACUGGGCGUAAAGGGUGCGUAGGCGGGUCUUUUAAGUCAGGGGUGAAAUCCUGGAGCUCAACUCCAGAACUGCCUUUGAUACUGGCGAUCUUGAGUCCGGAAGAGGUGAGUGGAACUCCUAGUGUAGAGGUGGAAUUCGUAGAUAUUAGGAAGAACACCAGUGGCGAAGGCGGCUCACUGGUCCGGUACUGACGCUGAGGUGCGAAAGCGUGGGGAGCAAACAGGG